AUAACAUUAGGUUGAUGAAAUUCAACAUUCAAGAGUGGAAUGAGGAUGAAAUUCAUCAUUGAAAAGCUCCUAAAUAAUUUGAGAUUUUCCACAAGUCGAUGGAUGCAUACAGUUCCAAAGCAGUAGAUUGUAGAUUUAUCCGUUUGAUGAUGUUCCUUCUGUUCAUCAGCGGAUUUCAAAAUUUUUACAUUUAAGCAAGUAAGAAAUUCCAAUGAGCCUCUGUGUUAUAUUUUAAUGGUUCCUUAUUAUAAUUGACUAUUUCAGAGACCAUCUAUUUUUUACUUAGGCCAAUUUUGCAUUUUAUCUUUUUUUUACUUAGAAUUUUACUUCAUGUUGCUGGUUUACUUUCAUUUCUUUAUAAUAGCUUGACUGCCAUAUUUCCUUCAUUGUGGCAAGAAUAUAAUUUUUCAAUUCUUUGCAAUAUUCCAUUGACUAUUUUUGUAAGUCAUUUUUAUUUGUAUUUUUUUUAUUGAGUUAUUUUUCUAAUACUUUUUUUCUUGUGCAGUUCCUUAUACAGAGAUAGUUUUGGUGGAUUCAUUUUCAUGUCAUUUUCAGAUAAUAUGCCAUGAAUUGCCAUAAUUUUACGGAUUCUGUUCCCAUUUUCUGUUGAUUCAUUUUCAUUCUGUUGAUUUGGUUUGCCUGUGUGUCAAUAUAAUUUAAACACAAUAAUAAUACACUUAAAAAUCUCCAAAUAAACUAAUUUCCCAUUAAUUCCUGGCGCAUUCGCCAUUCAUUCAAAAAACCUGAUGUCUAAUAUGUCGUUCUGUUUUUCCUAGCAUUUUUUCCAAUGAAUUUUCCUGAGUAACAUCGACUCCAGAGCAUCAUAGCUAGUCCCCCCAAAGAGGAGGAGACCCGGGUCGCCCCCUAACCCUGAUGUUCGGGCAUCGAUGACCUAUGUAGCAUGCAAAGGUACCCAAGGGAGUCACCACCCUCUGGUUUACGAGCUAGGUGUUCUAACGCUAGAGGCUUCGGCCGGA